rnacentral:rRNA from 1 species
GACGGGGGAUGCAAGUGUUAUCCGGAAUCACUGGGCGUAAAGCGUCUGCAGGUGGUUUCCUAAGUCCACUGUUAAACCUUGAGGCUCAACCUCAAAUCUGCAUUGGAAUCUAGGAGACUUGAGUAUAGUAGGGGUAGAGGGAAUUUCCAGUGGAGCGGUGAAAUGCGUAGAUAUUGGAAAGAACACCGAUGGCGAAGGCACUCUACUGGGCUAUUACUGACACUCAGAGACGAAAGCUAGGGGAGCAAAUGGG